rnacentral:rRNA from 1 species
UGGGAGUAUGUGGUUUAAUUCGAUGCAACGCGAAGAACCUUACCUAGGUUUGACAUCCGGAGACCUUCCCGAAAAGGAAGGGUGCCCUUCGGGGAAUUCCGAGACAGGUGCUGCAUGGCUGUCGUCAGCUCGUGCCGUGAGGUGUGGGUUAAGUCCCGCAACGAGCGCAACCCUAUUGCCAGUUGCUACCAGGUAAUGCUGGGCACUCUGGUGAGACUGCCCCGGUUAACGGGGAGGAAGGUGGGGACGACGUCAAGUCAUCAUGGCCCUUACGCCUAGGGCUACACACGUACUACAAUGGCGCAUACAAAGGGCAGCGAUACCGCGAGGUGGAGCCAAUCCCAAAAAGUGCGUCCCAGUCCGGAUUGCAGUCUGCAACUCGACUGCAUGAAGUUGGAAUCGCUAGUAAUUCGAGAUCAGCAUGCUCGGGUGAAUGCGUUCCCGGGCCUU